UUUGUUUAGCUAGCUCAAUGUAUGUGUCGUUGAGUUUUAGUUGAGUUGAUUGGUUUGGUAUAUUUGUUUUGAAGUUUAUUUGUAAGAUUAGACAAAAAGAGAGGUGAUCAUUAAUGAUUCGUCUUUUUGGGAUUCUAGUAUUUGGUGUUUUGAUUGUUUGGAUUAUUGUGGUUUCUUUUAAACAGUAAAAUAAAUAUUUGUGUAAAAUUAGAUUGAUAAGUAAGGGAGAUAAAUAGACGACCACAAAUCUUGGGUAUGAAAUAUUUUUGAUUAUUGAUGUUAGCACAAUAUAGACAAUAAUAUAAAGAGAAUUAUGUGUUGAUUGUUGCUUACAGAUCAAUGAAGAGACGGAUAACGACUCGAGUUGUUUCUUUGGUGAGGUCAGACCCUGGACAGAACGGAUUUGCCCAACCACAUCUGUGAGUUCAAAUAUUAGUUUUGAUAUCAAAACAUAAUAUAAACCCAGAUGCAAUAUGAUAAUACACCUGAGAGUUCUAGGUUUGUGUUCGCAAUCACUUGGAGAUUGUCGAAUAGUCUAAUCUUGACUGAAGAUUAAUCUCAGGAGCACCCGUGGUGACUUCAUCAAUAAUGGUUAGUGAGAUGAAACGAAUGAGGAAUGGAUGAUCACUUAUCUUGUGCAUGCUUGAGCAUCUAGAAACCUCAAAACGAUCGACUUUCACAAUGGAACCAGCUUUCAAAGAUGACAUGUAAUGAUUAGCACGUCCGAUGGGAGUAAACCCAUGAAUCACGGAAUCUACAAAUAAUAUUAUUCAACAAAGAAUCAUGAAAUAAAUUAAAACAAUUAUGUUAAAUAAAUGUUAUAGAUCAAAGAUUAACUUACCUUUUCAUCAAGGAAGAGAACCGUGAU
rnacentral:lncRNA from 1 species